CGCAUCUGUGCAUGCAGCAUAUCAAUAAGCGGAGGAAAAGAGGGCUAUUACCUACGCUUAGGAUGUUGACACACGCGCGUGCUAUACAUGACUCUGUGCAUAUCAAUAAGCGGAGGAAAAGAAACUAACAAGGAUUCCCUUAGUAACGGCGAGUGAAGCGGGAAGAGCUCAAAUUUGAAAUCUUCAAGGUUUUACCUUGACGAAUUGUAGUUUAAAGAAGUGUUUUCUGCUGAAGUUUUGGUAAAAGUUCUUUGGAAUAGGACAUCAUAGAAGGGUGAGAAUCCCGUAUUUGACCAUUAUUUUCAGCUUUGUGAUACACUUUCAAAGAGUCGGAUUGUUUGGGAAUGCAGUCCAAAAUGGGUGGUAAAUUUCAUCUAAAGCUAAAUAUUGGCGAGAGACCGAUAGCGAACAAGUACCGUGAGGGAAAGAUGAAAAGAACUUUGAAAAGAGAGUUAAACAGUACGUGAAAUUGUCAAAAGGGAAGCGUUUGACACCAGUGUUGUUUUCUCGAAAAUCAAUUAAAAAUGGCUCGAUUUUGUAUUGCUGAGACCUUAAAAGCUCACUGUACAUUUUUCGUGUCUUUUUUAAUGCACUUUUCGUUUAACAAGUCAACAUCAGUUUCUUUUGUUGUAAAAGGGUCAUUGGAAGGUGGCUUUCUUUUCGGAGAAAGUGUUUAUAGCCUUUGGCCUCUGCAAUCGGAGAGACUGAGGUCUGCAGCGUAGACUCUUCGGGGUUAGAUACAUUUGUGCUAAGUUAUAGCUUUUUAUAGACAACUUGUUGACUAUAAUUAGUCUUGUAGCUUACUCGCUUAUGCUAUUUUACCUACGCUUAGGAUGUUGACGCAUGAGAUAUACGC
rnacentral:rRNA from 1 species